AUGGAUCUCAUGAGCUGGAACUACAGGGGAGGGGGGAAUUUCCGGACAGUUCGCGAGUUAGCGACGCUAGUGCAGUCGCAUUCCCCCAGGAUGGUGUUUUUGUGUGAGACAUGAAAGAAAGAAGACAAAAUGAGGAGAUUGAGAGGCCGGCUAGGUCUGAAAGGCUUUAGUAGUGUGGACAGCAAUGGCUUCAGCGGGGGCCUUGCUCUUUUUUGGCAUGAA
rnacentral:rRNA from 1 species